GCAUCAGGAGAAGGCAUCCAGGACAGGAGGAAACAAUAUUGUCUUGUGAAGGUGAGCCCACAGCAGACUGCCAACAUGUGUAACACGGAUUGUGUUUUCAAUGCGCUACGGUCCGUACUGCAGGUAGUUAAGCGCAUCUAUGAUAAGGCAAAAGAUCUGUACGACAGCCCCUUUGCGCCACCCAAGGCCUCUGAGCCACCCAAGCGAGAAUGAAAUCUGCUUGUGUACUUUUUCGACGGAUUCCACCAUGUCUUCUCUUCCCACGCUGGCAAUGUGCUGAGAGGUUACCUCUUACUAUCAAAUGUUGUUGUUUUUUCGAUAUGUUCGUAAAAUUCCAAAGGCAAAUAAAGCUUGUUUGGAUCUGAAA